CCCUGCUCCCUUGCCUCAAGGUUGAAAAGAUCCUGUGUCAUAAUAUAUGCUCCAGUGCUCCCCCUGGGAUCACAUCAAGCUAGAUUUCACAUGAAACCACGUUCUUAUGAGACUCCUUCUCAUUCCCCAUCUGCCCCACACCCCAACUCUAGAGAACCUGACAUAAGAAAGUUGUUGUUCUUCAGUCACACAGUCAUGUCCAACUCUUUGUCCAACUCUUUUAAUAAACCCCAUGGACUGCAGCACGCCAGGCUUCCCUGUCCUUCACUACCUCCCAGAGUUUGCUCAAACUCAUGUCCAUUGAGUCAGUGAUGCCAUAAAAAUGAAUGAAGUCAUAAAGAUCAAGCCGUGGGGCAGAGAGCAGGGUGGAGAAGGAUGGAGAACAGAUCUGAAGACCUGCUAAUGGGCGCUAUCCGGCACACUGGAACAUCAAGCAGCUGUGCCCACCCCAAAACACACUACUCCACUCUUCCGUACUAACAGAUCCUGACUACGUUUGAGAGUAAAAUAUCCUCUUCUACUCUCCGUAUCCCCUGAAGCUAGGAUGGCAUGUAUCCCAAUCAGGCCAGUGAGAUGCGCCCGGGUGCCUGCUCUCCGUCUGGAGUUGAUCAGUCAGGCUUGCUGUUCAGGGGAUUCCUAUAUGGAGUUGGACACUGGAGCAGAAUCUCAGAGUCCAGCAGACAAAGAUGGACUCUUCACCACUGAGCCACCAGGGAAGCCUGGAAUUUCACUUUUACGAGAAGCUGCCUAUGACCUACUACAUGAGCUUUGGAAGAGGGAAGCCAUCAAGAAGAGUCAAUAAAGGCUAGAAGGCCUUACCUCUGCAGGAAGUAAGUAGGAAAGGGAAGAACACAUCCUGACUCCUAUUCAUACCAUGCUGGUUCUGUUCUUUGUUUGUAGGUGAUA
rnacentral:lncRNA from 1 species